AGUGAACGCUGGCGGUAGGCCUAACACAUGCAAGUCGAACGGCAGCACAGUAAGAGCUUGCUCUUACGGGUGGCGAGUGGCGGACGGGUGAGGAAUACAUCGGACUCUACUUUUUCGUGGGGGAUAACGUAGGGAAACUUACGCUAAUACCGCAUACGACCUACGGGUGAAAGCAGGGGAUCUUCGGACCUUGCGCGAUUGAAUGAGCCGAUGUCGGAUUAGCUAGUUGGCGGGGUAAAGGCCCACCAAGGCGACGAUCCGUAGCUGGUCUGAGAGGAUGGUCAGCCACACUGGAACUGAGACACGGUCCAGGCUCCUACGGGAGGGAGCAGUGGGGAAUAUUGGACAAUGGGGGCAAGCCUGAUCCAGCCAUACCGCGUGGGUGAAGAAGGCCUUCGGGUUGUGAAGCCCUUUUGUUGGGAAAGAAAAGCAGCAGGUUAAUACCCCGCUGUUCUGACGGUACCCAAAGAAUAAGCACCGGCUAACUUCGUG
rnacentral:rRNA from 1 species